UAAAGUUGAAGGCACAAAGGAAGCCUCUCGCCCAAGGGAAACGCACGUACAGUGGAGUGUCUUGUUUUGGUGACACCAAAAGCAGAUGGGCCAAACCCAGACCCCUGCCGGCUUAGAAUGAGGGUGACAUGUGGAAUCCCCCUCACGCACCUGAGAUCCAGCCGAUGGCGAAUGCCCUCUGCUUCCCCUAAGCCGCGUCCCUGGACUGGGGCAGGACGUAAAGUUUUUACAAGCUCGAGGAGGGCUGCAGAGAGCUGUUGCUGAGACAACAAGAACUGGAGACGAGCGAGAAUAACCCAAGUGGAUGAUCUCACCACCUGAGCCUGCCCGGCCUUCUCGGAGACAUUGGAUACUCUCGCCAGAGGGAGGAAAUCGCCUUUGCUUAUUUCCAUUUUCUUUCAGAAACAAUCUGAAUUCUUGGGACCUGAUUCCCACUUACACACCACGGGCCCUUCACGCCGGCCGUGGGUGGGUUUUUCUUUGUGCCAAAUGAGACUGCUCGAAAAAUCAGCCUCCGAUCAACUUAACUGUGUAGAUUCCCUGCUCCUACUGUCACCGCUUUAUUAUGACUUGUAGCACCAAUGAGCCCCAGUCACGGGCCUGGAUUCCAGGGCGCCAGGUGCUGUACAAACACGGAACAAAACAACGAUCCCUGCCCAGAGAGCUUCCAACCUGAGGAUGACGAAAGUGUAAGGUCUGUCUUUUGUUCUGUCUGUACAGCUCCUCGCGCCAUGGGGUCGUGGGCCACGCAGGAAGCCGAUGACAGGGGCGUGUUGGCUCUGUCCUAGUUUACAUCAGGGAUUCUCACAACAAAUUGUUUGGUAGCCUCUGACAAUUUUCGCUAAACUACUUAAUUAACUUUAGGAAAAACAAAUAAAUAUCUGCAGGCAUGUGUCCAAACCAUUGCCACUUAUUUAGGUCGAUUGGUUUUUUUUUUUUUUUUUUACACUCAAUAAUAAAGAGAAUGGACAGUUGUCUCUAUUCUGUACUGGAUCGAAACAGAAACACAACUAAGGUGCGUUGUGUAUUUCUGUGCUUUGCCUUUUUUUGGUUGUUGUUGGUUUUUGUUUUUUUUUUAAGACUUGCUGGCUAGUAAGUCUGCUACUAUGAAAAGUGAUCUUUGUAUAUUUGUUCAUAUCACCUUUUUACAGCAGAUUUACUCAGCCCCGGCAAGCUGGGGGGACAAAUUAAACCCUAUAUGGGGAGGGAGGCAGAGAGGGCCAGCGGUAAUGUUGGGGGUGAGCCUGGGGCUGGAGCCCGAAGCCCUGUGGGUGGAGCCCGCUGCCACACGGCCAGAGCCUGAUGCCCACGGCUGAAGCCCAAGCCCAAGCCCCACCGCCCCUAGAAAGGUGGGGAACCCACAUGGGUUGCUUGCUCCUAUGGUGUUUGUGGUUCCAGAAGGGGGCAGGGACCACUGCUGGUG